AUAUGCCAUUGAGUGGGGGACAACAGUUGGAAACGACUGCUAAUACCGCAUAACGUCUACGGACCAAAGGGGGGGAUCUUCGGACCUCUCGCUCAUUGAUUAGCCCAAGUGAGAUUAGCUAGUUGGUAAGGUAAUGGCUUACCAAGGCGACGAUCUCUAGCUGGUUUGAGAGGAUGAUCAGCCACACUGGGACUGAGACACGGCCCAGACUCCUACGGGAGGCAGCAGUGGGGAAUAUUGCACAAUGGGCGAAAGCCUGAUGCAGCCAUGCCGCGUGUGUGAAGAAGGCCUUCGGGCUGUAAAGCACUUUCAGUCAGGAGGAAAGGUUAGUAGUUAAUACCUGCUAGCUGUGACGUUACUGACAGAAGAAGCACCGGCUAACUCCGUGCCAGCAGCCGCGGUAAUACGGAGGGUGCGAGCGUUAAUCGGAAUUACUGGGCGUAAAGCGUACGCAGGCGGUUUGUUAAGCGAGAUGUGAAAGCCCCGGGCUCAACCUGGGAACUGCAUUUCGAACUGGCAAACUAGAGUGUGAUAGAGGGUGGUAGAAUUUCAGGUGUAGCGGUGAAAUGCGUAGAGAUCUGAAGGGAUACCGAUGGCGAAGGCAGCCACCUGGGUCAACACUGACGCUCAUGUACGAAAGCGUGGGUAGCGAACAG
rnacentral:rRNA from 1 species